UACGUAGGGGGCAAGCGUUGUCCGGAAUCAUUGGGCGUAAAGCGCGUGUAGGCGGCUCGAUAAGUCCGCUCUGAAAGUCCAGGGCUCAACCCUGGAAGGCGGGUGGAUACUGUCGAGCUCGAAGUCCGGAAGAGGCGAGUGGAAUUCCCGGUGUAGCGGUGAAAUGCGCAGAUAUCGAGGAAGAACCGCCGUAGGCGAAGGCUGGCUGGCCUGUCGG
rnacentral:rRNA from 1 species